UGGGGAUGGAGAGAAGUCAUCAGUGAAGCAUCAGAGAGCAGGGGACCUUCAAGUAUGAGUAGCAAGGGGCAGAAAGAGAAAUUCGGAAGACCGAAGAUUGACUCCACCAUAUCCCUGAAAUCUCUUGCCAAGGAACAGGUGCCAAAGAAGAAGGCCUGUAAAGCCAUGAAACUGGUGCUCAGGUCUUGAGAACCAGACAGAUGGCAGCAUGAGGACAUGACCCACCAUUGCUGGCUUUGAAGAUGGUAGAAGGGAAUGUGAGCCAAGGAAUGCAGAUGGUCUCUAGAAGCUAUGGGAGGAAAAAAAAAAAAAACACCACAAGGAAAUGGCAUCUCCCUGAGAACUUCCAGAGAGAAACUCGGGACU